AGGAUGAACGCUAGCGGCAGGCCUAAUACAUGCAAGUCGAACGGUAAAUGUCCCUUCGGGGAUAUGAGAGUGGCGCACGGGUGCGUAACGCGUAUGCAACCCACCCGCUGUCGGGGGAUAGCCCGGAGAAAUUCGAAUUAAUACCCCAUGAGGAGCAGCUGUGGCAUCACAAUUGUUUCAAAACUUCGGUGACGGCGGACGGGCAUGCGUGCCAUUAGAUAGUUGGCGGGGUAACGGCCCACCAAGUCGACGAUGGCUAGGGGAUCUGAGAGGACGGUCCCCCACACUGGUACUGAGACACGGACCAGACUCCUACGGGAGGCAGCAGUAAGGGAUAUUGGUCAAUGGGGGGAACCCUGAACCAGCCCAUGCCGCGUGAGGGAGUAAGGCCCUACGGGUCGUAAACCUCUUUUGCCGGGGGAUAAGGACGUCCACGUGUGGAUGUUUGAAGGUACCCGGAGAAUAAGCAUCGGCUAACUCCGUGCCAGCCGCGGC
rnacentral:rRNA from 1 species